UACGAAGGGUGCAAGCGUUACUCGGAAUUACUGGGCGUAAAGCGUGCGUAGGUGGUUUGUUAAGUCUGAUGUGAAAGCCCUGGGCUCAACCUGGGAAUUGCAUUGGAUACUGGCAGGCUAGAGUGCGGUAGAGGAUGGCGGAAUUCCCGGUGUAGCAGUGAAAUGCGUAGAGAUCGGGAGGAACAUCUGUGGCGAAGGCGGCCAUCUGGACCAGCACUGACACUGAGGCACGAAAGCGUGGGGAGCGAAAGGG
rnacentral:rRNA from 1 species